rnacentral:rRNA from 1 species
GAUGAACGCUGGCGGCGUGCCUAAUACAUGCAAGUCGAGCGAACAGACGAUGAGCUUUCUCCUCUGACGUUAGCGGCGGACGGGUGAGUAACACGUGGAUAACCUACCUAUAAGACUUGGAUAACUUCGUGAAACCGGAUCUAAUACUGGAUAAUAUAUUGAACCGCAUGGUUCAAUAGUUAAAGACGGUUUUGCUGUCACUUAUAGAUGGAUCCGCGCUGCAUUAGCUAGUUGGUAAGGUAACGGCUUACCAAGGCGACGAUGCGUAGCCGACCUGAGAGGAUGAUCGGCCACACUGGAACUGAGACACGGUCCAGACUCCUACGGGAGGCAGCAGUAGGGAAUAUUCCGCAAUGGGCGAAAGCCUGACGUAGCAACGCCGCGUGAGUGAUGAAGGUCUUCGGAUCGUAAAACUCUGUUAUUAGGGAAGAACAAAUGUGUAAGUAACUAUGCACGUCUUGACGGUACCUAAUCAGAAAGCAACGGCUAACUACGUG